rnacentral:rRNA from 1 species
GUCGGAGGAAGGUGGGAUGACGUCAAAUCAUCAUGCCCUUAUGACCUGGGCUACACACGUGCUACAAUGGCCGGUACAGACGGACGCAAAGCCGCGAGGUGGAGCAAAUCCUAAAAAGCCGGUCUCAGUUCGGAUUGCAGGCUGCAAUUCGCCUGCAUGAAGUCGGAAUCGCUAGUAAUCGCAGGUCAGCAUACUGCGGUGAAUACGUUCCCGGGCCUU